rnacentral:lncRNA from 1 species
AAUAAAUUAAAUUAGAUUAUGACUUUGCAAGUGCAACCAAGUUCACAAUGGAUGGAGAGAAUGCCUUGUUUCCCAUAGUUUUCAUGGUUUUCUUUUUCCUUUAGCGGUUUAUUAUAAAAAUAUUUAUAUCAAAAUUGUUAUCUUCUAUGAUGGCCAAUGUUAAAACCAAAGCUUUCUUAAUUGAAGGGAUAUAUAUUAAAAAAAUUACUGUUGCCAAUAGAAGAAACCUAAGGACAUGUAUCCUAUGACUGGUCGAAUAUUGAAAACCAGUGUCAAUUGCAGUCAUCAUCUUGCCAUGAUAUGAAUGACCACGACCCACCAGAACAAGACUUGAUCCAUGGUGGGUCCUGUCGCCCAAUAUGUCCUUGGAUGGUGAUGAUCAUCCAUGGGCUACAUUACUCCAUAUUCCAUUGGAAUAUCACAUACUCACCCCUAUUUUUUUAGAAAAUGGUUUCUUGUAUUAUUACUGUUACCAUUUAAUAUGUGUUUUUCUUCAUCUUAUCCCUGUAUCUUUUACAUAGUUCUGAGCAAACUAUUAGAGCCAUAGCUUUUCUCGAGGUUUGAAGAACUGCUAGCCAAACGCCGAAAGCACCAUCAUUAGGUCCCAUACACCGAGGUCCUCCUUUUAUAUAAGCCUCAUAAUGUGAAUCUUCAUCCACUUACACAAGUGCCUAUUUAAAAUGGCCAAAGGUCUGCCCAAAAAUCUCUAUAAUUUUCCCAUUGUUCUCUCCAAGACAACAAUGCCAUAUAAAUCCUUGGACUUCUUAUCUUUAUGACAACCAUGUCUCUUGCUCUUUGGUCUUCUUUCUUUCUCACAAAAUAAGAAGGUUGCCAACCUAUGGUCAGUCCUUUCCAAUCGUUCUCAAUCUUCUAGCAGUUCACAUGCUGUUCAUGUUCUUGCAUAACCAUGCUCCUUGGGAGAACAGUAAGUUCUAGUCAUUAUUUGUAGUCAAGAAUUUCCAGUACACCAAAAAAACACCUCCAACCAUGCACUUUGUACACCAUCCCUUGGAGAGAAUGAUUCAUCUUGCUAACAAAACAAUCUCAGAUAUAUAAUGAUAUAGCAUGUAUGAAUAACUCAUGACAUGGUUUAAGGGGUGUAAUUGAUAUUCUCGUAAAAGCAUUCCGUAUAUUCUCAUACAAGCAUUCCGUAUAUGCUCAAUCUAGUUGUUGUUAGAUGGUGAAAGAGAUCAUCGAGAUCACCAUUCACGGAAAAAAUCAAUCAUCAUAUCAACCAAUCACUGUGGAUUUCCUGCUGUCAAUAGAACUUCAAAGGCCAACGGUCGCAUGUCCACCCUCCCACAGAAAAAAAAACAAACACGUUCCCUCUCUCUCCAAUGGGGUGUAAAUAAAACACAACCUAUAACGUGCACCCUCUUAAUUUUGUUUCAUGCAGGGGCAUAAUUCACAUUUCAGCCUUAGAGAGAGAUUGAUUUUGUUUUGUGGUGUUGAUUUCUUUGGGUUUCUACUUUGUAUUUCGGUCUGUGUUGUUUGUGUAUGUGUGUGUGUGUGUGUGUGUGUGUGAGAGAGAGAGAGAGAGAGAGAGAGAGAGAGAGAGACUAGUUCUGACUAGUUGUAGGUAGUUGUAUUGUUACGUUUUUAAGUUUAAAACUCCUAACGUAAGAAAGAGUAACGUAACUUAACGAAAGUAACNNNNNNNNNNNNNNNNNNNNACGGGUUUAGGUUUAGGGUUUAGGGUUAGGUUUAGGUUAGGUUAGGUUAGGUAGGUUAGGUAGGUAGGUGUAGUAGGUAGUAGAGGAGUAGAGAGUAGAGAGAGAGAGAGAGAGAGAGAGAGAGAGAGAGAGAGAACAGUUCUGCAUUGUGGAGUUGAUUGCUUUUUGGUUUUAAAAAUCCACUAGAAAGAGAGAACUUACAAAGAUAACAGAGAGAAACACAGAUGGGAAAAUGCCGUGGCAAGACGGAAUCAAAGUUCUAGCAUACAAACUUGUGGAAAGAGGGAUCAGAGUAUUGGUGAAUGACUUGAUAGUUGAAAGAGACAAAGACCCAAAAAUAUUAGUGAAGGGGAAGAUAACAAAAAAUAAAAUCGGGUUUUUACUUUUAUUUUUUCUCUUGUUUUGUCUUGCCUCUCCUCUAAAUAGUGUUUCUAUUUUAUUCUUUUUCCUUGCAGUUUUCUCUAGUUGAGCACUAGAUGGGAUUUGAGGAGGAUGGGUACAUGCCUAAAUACAUAAUAAACAAGGGAAGUGACCAAAUUUUAUACUUGUACAGAGCCUAAAAUUCAUUUUCCCAUGAAACUGCUACAACCCAUUUCUCGAUGGCAACAAACACAGAAAAGGAUCUUCAACAUCUCACCCACACAUCACUUAUAACAUCUUGAAUUACAUUUGAUCGACUUCCUACAAAUAUGUCGAUCGGGUAUAAAUGGGAUUACAAAAUCAAAUCUAAGAGACAAUUCUCAUAUAUAAAAGCCCUUUCUGUCCUAAAAGGUGUCUUAAAAGUGUCCAUUGAUAUGGGCAUCUGCUCAAGUGACACAUAACCUCCUAAUCAGCACUUAGCCUUUUACUAAGGCAUCAAUGGCCCAUCUAAUGGCCUCAUACAUUCCUAAAUAUCGAGACAAGUGAAGUAAUUAAAAUGGAAGCUCUUGCAAGUCAUCCUGUCACAAGUCCAUUAAUUUGUGUUUGAAAGACUCUUCACACUCUAAAAUAAGUUCAAUCUCAGUUUGAGAUUUGAAUAAUGUGAGACUCUUAACAUUCUCAAACUUUCAACAAAGUAGCCCUAUCCAUCAUUCAGAUCACCUAGAAACCAAGAUUCCCAUAAUCCAUAUUGAUCGCACCUUAAAUUCUGGAGAUGGUUUAUGAGAUUUUACCACCAGAGCAACUCCAUGAGGAGUUCAUAACAAAACCUACACACUUGCAUAUGGGACUCACUCUCCAAAGCAAUUUAUUUUGCACGUUAGAUGUUAUUACUCCAGAAAAUAGUGUUCUAUGGUAAAUUAUAAAUGCAUCAGUGGAGUUUUUUUAUGGUAAAUUACAAAUGCAUCAGUGGAGUUUAUUCGGGGAACAGAUCCUAGAAGUCUAUAGUUCUAUCCAAAUUGUAUUUACCCCAAAUUAAAGUUCAAAAAAAAAAAAACUACUAAUGGAAUAAAACCAGUGAGUCUGCAUUCCCAUGCUCCAUCUAUUAAGAACCCCCACCCAUAUUUUCAAAAUGUAGCAUCUCGUAUCCAUCAUUGUGCCAAGUUAGAGCUAAAUAGACUCCAGAAGUGAUCCCAUAUUGCCCUAGGUAACUCAAAAUGUUAUAACGGCAAUCCAUGUUCAUGUUCCAAAGGUCAAAAGUUUUUGAUUAGGCAACAGAAAGCCCCUCUUUGUAAGGUUCAACUCCAUGAGAAUCCCCCUAUCAUUACUAACCAUUAGGAUGAAACAACCUUAUAUGACUUGAAUAUCUAACAGUGAAUUGUACAAGAGUACAUGAAAUUAGACACCUUUGACUCUAGUGUUAGACAUUUAGCACACCUAGAAAGGAGCUCGCCCAACCCACAUUAUGAACUUACAGAUGCACUUAUUCCUUGUCACUCACCAGAUUUUGCACAUGUUGCCCAUGUUGUUAGUCAAUUUUUGAGAAAC